AUUGAACGCUGGCGGCAGGCCUAACACAUGCAAGUCGAGCGGAUGAAGGGAGCUUGCUCCUGGAUUCAGCGGCGGACGGGUGAGUAAUGCCUAGGAAUCUGCCUGGUAGUGGGGGAUAACGUCCGGAAACGGGCGCUAAUACCGCAUACGUCCUGAGGGAGAAAGUGGGGGAUCUUCGGACCUCACGCUAUCAGAUGAGCCUAGGUCGGAUUAGCUAGUUGGUGGGGUAAAGGCCUACCAAGGCGACGAUCCGUAACUGGUCUGAGAGGAUGAUCAGACACACUGGAACUGAGACACGGUCCAGACUCCGGCGGGAAGCAGCAGUGGGGAAUAUUGGACGAUGGGCGAAAGCCUGAUCCAGCCAUGCCGCGUGUGUGAAGAAGGUCUUCGGAUGGUAAAGCACUGUAAGUUGGGAGGAAGGGCAGUAAGUUAAUACCUUGCUGUUUUGACGGUACCAACAGAAUAAGCACCGGCUAACUUCGUG
rnacentral:rRNA from 1 species